GUAUUACUGUGCUGUGGCCACAUGUGUGGAGUCUUUUUCUCGAAAUAAAACAACAGGCGAUGCUGAAGCAGUCAAGAAAAGCUGCUCAAAGAAGGACAAUACAAUUCUCUAUCUGUUGUGUGUCGCUUUGGCUAUAAGCCUGAUUGUUAUAGCUUGUCUAGUUUAUUCAAUCAAGAAGCUAAAGAAGAGUUCAUAUGUGUAUUCUAACGAUGCAGUUGCCCUGCAAACAAAUGUACUUUCAAGUGGUGACCAGGAAAAUCAGCAGACAGAUGAGGACUUGUUGGUUUAUUCGGCACCAACUUUUAAAAAAGCGAGCAAAUCGGGGACAAAGGAUACAAAACCUGCAGAGGAAGAGAGCAUCUACACUGAUGUCAAGGCUCUUGGGCUGGAUUAAGCUCUACUAGCAUCAUAAAUGUGGACAUAUAUUUCACUUUUGUUGUUUGUUAGAAAUGUAAUUAUUUGUAUGUUUUUGACACUGUAUUUCCAGUUUAUGUGCAAAGACUAAAAAGUAUAUUAUUAAGCUAUUUUAGAGAUGAAAACAGUAUGAAUCCCAUCUAUGAAUGGUUUUAGUCUGUGUUGUUGUGUUCUUUAAUAUUAUUUAGUAUAUUGAUGUGUUUCUCUGUAAUCCACAUGAAUACAUUAUUUUCACGAAUAUAAUGAAAGUAAAAAGUGGUUACAGUGGAUAUACAGUUUCCUGUUUGAUAGUAAAUAAAGUUUAAUACAAAAAUAUAACACAAAAUAUCAACAGUACAAGAAAGUCACUAAUUAUUUAAUUAAAUUUCUUAAACAGAGUCAGUGUGGCAUUUUUUCUUGUAUGUGUAUAUUUUUAGCUAUGAACUUAAAUUCAAUUUAAUAAACUUAAUUUUUGACAAUAACUCAGUUAGUCUAGGCUACUCUGAAAAAAGUAAAAACUUGCCGAACUUUCCUUACUCUAGAGGUAAGGCCUAGUGGCUUCAUAGUAUAAUAAUUCAAGAAACAAAAACGCUUCAUGGGUCAUAAGCUAGUGUAACCUUUCUGCUUGUUCUAAACCCUGAUAAAUGGGAGCAUUUUGUCAGGAAGGGUAUCCAAUAUAAAAACUACGCAAAAUCA